rnacentral:rRNA from 1 species
CCUACGGGAGGCAGCAGUGGGGAAUUUUGGACAAUGGGCGCAAGCCUGAUCCAGCAAUGCCGCGUGAGUGAAGAAGGCCUUCGGGUUGUAAAGCUCUUUUGUCAGGGAAGAAACGGUAGAGGCUAAUAUCCUUUGCUAAUGACGGUACCUGAAGAAUAAGCACCGGCUAACUACGUGCCAGCAGCCGCGGUAAUACGUAGGGUGCAAGCGUUAAUCGGAAUUACUGGGCGUAAAGCGUGCGCAGGCGGUUUUGUAAGUCUGACGUGAAAGCCCCGGGCUCAACCUGGGAAUUGCGUUGGAGACUGCAAGGCUUGAAUCUGGCAGAGGGGGGUAGAAUUCCACGUGUAGCAGUGAAAUGCGUAGAGAUGUGGAGGAACACCGAUGGCGAAGGCAGCCCCCUGGGUCAAGAUUGACGCUCAUGCACGAAAGCGUGGGGAGCAAACAGGAUUAGAUACCCUGGUAGUCCACGCCCUAAACGAUGUCUACUAGUUGUCGGGUUUUAAUUAACUUGGUAACGCAGCUAACGCGUGAAGUAGACCGCCUGGGGAGUACGGUCGCAAGAUUAAAACUUCAAAUUGAAAUUGACGGCUUGNGAGNGCGAGCGACGACGAGGAGAGG